UGAGAAUCUUGUCAUAAACUCAGGGUCUC
rnacentral:piRNA from 1 species